rnacentral:rRNA from 2 species
AGGAUUGCUAAUACCGGAUACGCUGAUUUAUCAGGAAAGGUGGCCUCUUCAUGAAAGCUACUGUAUCAGGAGGAGCUUGCGUACCAUUAGCUAGUUGGUGGGGUAAUGGCCUACCAAGGCGACGAUGGUUAGCGGGUCUGAGAGGAUGAUCCGCCACACUGGAACUGAAACACGGACCAGACUCCUACGGGAGGCAGCAGUGAGGAAUAUUGCGCAAUGGGGGAAACCCUGACGCAGCGACGCCGCGUGGAUGAUGAAGGCUUUCGGGUCGUAAAAUCCUGUCAGAUGGGAAGAAAUGCUAUGAGGCUAAUACCCUUGUAGUUUGACGGUACCAUCAAAGGAAGCACCGGCUAACUCCGUGCCAGCAGCCGCGGUAAUACGGAGGGUGCAAGCGUUGUUCGGAAUUACUGGGCGUAAAGCGCGCGUAGGCGGCCUUUUAAGUCAGAUGUGAAAGUCCACGGCUCAACCGUGGAAGUGCAUUUGAUACUGGGAGGCUUGAGUACUGGAGGGGAUGGUGGAAUUCCCGGUGUAGAGGUGAAAUUCGUAGAUAUCGGGAGGAAUACCGGUGGCGAAGGCGACCAUCUGGCCAGAUACUGACGCUGAGGUGCGAAAGCGUG